CAGAAGCUGUUCCUCGCCCUGGAUUCUUUUAGGCCGGAGAAGAACAAUUUCGAGGCCAUGAUUUCUUAUUAUGAAGAUUACUACAGAUACCAUUCUCUGGAAGAGGAAAACCUGAAAGAUUUUCUGCUUUGGUACACCAUCGAGAACAUCGCCGAUGACGAGAACAUCCCCAAUUAUUU